GUGGCUGUAGCUCAGCGGUUAGAGCACCGGGUUGUGGUCCCGGGGGUCGAGGGUUCAAAUCCCUCCAGCCACCCCA
rnacentral:tRNA from 1 species